rnacentral:lncRNA from 1 species
GAGUCUACCAUGGGUUAAGCGCUGUUCUAGGAGCUAGGGUUAUAGUGGCAAACACAUGACGUAAGAGACUGGGACUUGAUAUAAAAUCUUCUGGAUGAUGUAAACAUUUUGAGAUUUUUCAGCAAGACAAUAAUCAUACAAGCCCCAUGAACCCGGAGGAACAGGCACAUCAAUCCUACUCUAGCACCGAAAACUCCAAGCAAGAGCAUUUCCUAGGUUCCUGCCAUGAACUCCAGCCGCAGAUCCUUCAUUAUAAGCCUAGCUCCUCCACACAGUCAGGGCUGGCGCCACCUUGAGCUCAGCCCGUCCCCCUCUGAUGCCUUAAUAAAUUUCUUGCCUUACCAACGUGGCCUUGCACGUUCCGCCCUCAGCAAACUUAACAGUAACGACCAGCCUACUAACUGCUUCUUUUCUCUACAGCCAAGCCCUGUCCUAUGGGGGAGUCAAAGUAGCAGGGCUGAGUAAGAAACCACCAGGAUUAUAAGAUGUGGUUGGAGCAGGAGGAACGUUCUUUCACUUCUACUUAAACUACAACACGUUCAGAUAUUCCAGAGAAGAAAUUUUUGUUCUCAACUCUGCAAUAGGCUAACAGUUCUAAAAUUAGCAGCCGUCGAUCCAAUUUGGAAAUAGGAGAGUGAAGGUAACAGAAUGGAACAAAGGGACAUGCAGAGUUGGAUAUCGCCUGGAGGAUCUCAGAGGAGGGUGGAUGUUUCUUCGGACAUUAGAUGACCAUACCUACUAGUGUAAUAGCAACCUCGCCAAGGAGAAACUUGCAUGCAGUCUAGCAUCACUGGCGCAUAGGGUGUUCAGACCUGUGUUUCUGGUGUGAAGGUUGCACCAACACCUCAGCUCUGUGGGCAGAAGCACCACACAUGACACUCAGUCCAAGAUGGCAGCACGGGGGCUGAGAGCAGAGAGGCCGUACAGGGCACUGGAUCUGAAGCAAAAGGGGCACAGCUGGGCCACCCCCGAGAACCCUGCCCCUUCCUCGAGGUUCCUAGAAAGCAGUCCUGGCCGUGGCCUAGCAGGAAAGGUGUGUCCUCUAGAGCCUGAGCUUGAGCUUCUGCAUUCAUUGAUCAAAGAACAGAAUUUUCCAUCCUGGUUUAUCCCAAUGGAUAUGAUUUCCUGUGCUAUACGGUGGGACCUUGUUGUCUAUCCAUUCUAAAUGGAAGAGUUUGCAUUUACUAGCCCCAAACUCCGUAACAUAAGGGAAUAUAUAAAUGAGACUGUAUAUAUGCAUAUAACUAAGUCACUUUGCUGUAUAGCAGAAAUGAGCACAAUAUUAUACAUCAACUCUACUUUAAUACCUUUUUUUUUUUUUUUAAAGAACAGAGCUUUUCUUUGCUUCUGACCCAAACUCGGUCUUAUUCUAUUGGCUCCAACAACACUGGGCAGGAGGACCAGAGUUGGGGACAGACUUGGGAGGGUCAGUAACAUUGGGAGCUCACAUAUGGCUGAUUUGGGGAAUCCUAAGUUCUGAGUUCAGGGUACAUUCUUCAGAGAAGACCUGUAUUUGCUAACACCAGAGGCUCCAAGACAUUGCCAACCUGACACCUCUUUACAUGUUUGAUGUUUCCUGGAUGCUGUAGGUAGUAGGAUUUGAAACCCGUAUCCAAGUGAAAGGGUCAUAGUUAAAACUUCUCAGGUUGAGAGUUCCUAGUUUUUAUAUUACUGUUCUACCCAAAACAGGAGUCAGAAUACAAAGUUUCCUGGUUUUCUUGCUUUUACCAGGAGUGAUUUUUUUUUCCCCUUCUACUUCACCAUUUUAAUGAGGGUGUGGUCUUCUGAGUGCACCGGUGUAUGCUGGGGCCUGGGUUCCAGUUCCGCUUUGCUCAGGUUUAAGGCCUUCCUUAUUCCAAAACGGUCAUUACCACCCAAGGUUCUUUUCACUACAUUUUAGAUUUUUUUUUGGGGGGGGGGAUAGUUAAUGCUGCAGUAUGUACUAUAUCAUUGAAAGGAACUAAAGUCUUUGACAGUGGAUUUAGCUCCUGGACCAUUUCAUAUUAAAUAUGUAAAGAAACCAGGAAUUAUGACUUAAGAACCAUAUAAAGUGUGGUAAUAAUUUUCCUGGCAUUUUUUUGAUAAAGAACAAAAAUACAAGAUAGUUGAUGUAUGAUAAAAAUUGAUGUAUAUAACGAAAUUCUGAGAAGAGUUAUAUUUUAGGAUAAUAGUUAUAAUAUUUAUUCUAACAUAAUAGCUGCAAGACAAAUAGUGCAACUUGGUACUUACUAAUGAAUAUCAUCACUCAGAUUGAAGUGUUCAGUUAGCACCCUAAAAAAUGUAUUUUUCUAAUAUACUGUUAAAGGAAAUUGGCUUUGGUCCAUGUGUGUGUAUGUCUAUAUUGAGAGUAAUUCGUAGUAGAACUGUUUAAACCAUGUGAAGCCAACACACAUCUUCCUUGAAAAGAAUUCCACAAAAAAGGAGCUGACUGCCCCUUAAAAGUCAUUUAGUACAAGCUCCAUUUAACGUCAAAUUUGUGGUGUUUCGUAUUACUUCCAUCAUUACCAACAGGUAAAGCAUACGGUACUUUUUAGAUGGUAACCUUAUUUUUUGCAGAUUGCUAAGAAAUGGAGGAAAAACAGCCACGUUUAAUGUAAAUAUUCUAGGCGUGCUCCAUCAUUCCUAGGAUAGAGUCCAGCAGUAGAUUAAUCAGAACAUCUCCUAAAGAUACCUAGUUUAGAUUUACUUUGGGGAACCACAAACUCAUUCAUACUGAGCCAAAGGGAAACUGGGAACAGACAGUCCCAGGAGCCAGCUUCUCUAUUUCAGUAUUUGUAGAUCCCCCCCGGGGGUUAUGGGGAAUCCUAACACAGUCUGGGGAAAAGCUCCUUCUCCGUAAACAUGAAAGCUGAAACACGUGUAGACUUUCGAAGGGCUUAUUAAUAAACGAAAGCUAGGGAAUUAUAAUAAUGAUAGUGGUCCUUAAAGAAACAAGAUCUAGGAGUUCUGUGGCUCAGGCAGCGUUGUCACUGCAGUGACUUGGGUCACUGGGUUUGUGGGUUUGAUCCCUGGCCCCGGAACUUCCAUGUGCCACCAGAAUGGCCAAAAAAGAAGAAAGAAAGGAAGGAAGGAAGGAAGGAGGAAAGGAAGGAAGGAAGGAAAAAGAAAGAAGGGUGUAGUUUCCUGCUAUUCAGAUACUUUGAGGUCAGGCAGGCCUUGUAGCUAAUCUGAAUUUUUACAUAUUAGCCUCUUCUUUACGUAAGAUCCUUAGGUAUUCUCUUACUUUUGUGUGAUUUCGGGUACACAUUUUAAGUAAUUUUUUUUUUUAAGUGAAAUUUAUCUGGCAUCUAGGUGUUCUGAGCAUAAGGAUUUAAAAAUACCUGUCUACCCUCUUGUUAGAAGUAGACUAUUUUAGCUAUCUUGUAUCCCUUAUUUUUGAUUCUUAGUAGGUAACUGUGAUGUUUUUGUUAAAUGAAUUAAUAAGCACAUCCAUCAAAUCACUAGAACAACGAAAGUGAGAGAGAUAUUAUCAGCUUUGUUUCUGAGCAAUAAUUUAUCUCAAAUAUGUGUGUUUUAUCAGCUGAUCUUUUCGUUCAUUGUAUGAAUUGGAAUUUCAAAAAAAACAACGUAAGAGAAAACAGUUCCAUGUGCCCUUUUAAUUUUCUUUCCAAGGCAAACUUAGAUAAUGUAAUUACCUAAUGUGUUUGUAACUUGGUCCUUUUUCCAGAGGGCUUUUCUUUGCCUUAGCAAACAAAUAACAACAGCAACAAAAAACCCUCUAAACCCUCUAAAUCCUCUAUUUUUUCCCAGAGCUUCUAUGAUAUAUCUGCAGGCUAAGUAAAUAUGAAAAGCUUUGCAGAUAAACGUUUGAAAAUGAACUUUAUAUCAUUUCUAAAAUCUGGCAAGGGAAAUUAUCUCCAAAUGUAUCAGUCUCAUUGACUUGGCAGUUUUAUUAAACUUAAACACCUUUUCAAUAUUUUCAUUGCUGAGGAGUGCAUAUUACCAUAAGGUAAAGACUCAGCCAUCCAGAGCUUGACAGAUAAAUAUAUAAUUUUCAUAAAGGUCUUGUAGUCCUUAGACACUGGUUGAGCAAAAACACAGAAUUAAAUAGCACUGUCAGCAUGAAUCUAUCAGUGACAAGGAGAAUUAACAGCUGGUGACGUGCUCUGGAGGGAGGAGCUUGGGCCCUUAUGCAAGAGCAAAGGAUAUUUUAAAAUUACACUGUUUUAAAUCUAGAGUUUAAUAUAGAAUUUAAAACUAUUGGUAGGAUUGAUUCCCCGCCACUCCUAGAAAAGUAGGGAAUAGAUUAUUCUGAGAAAAGAACCCUUGUCUUUUUUUGUGUUCUGUUGCGUUCCUAGUACCUAAGGAAUUCUUGGCACAUAGUAGGUGCCCAAUAUGUGUUUGCUGAAAAAUGAUGGGAUGAAUACACAAAUGGGACAGGACAAUAAAGCUAUCAUAGCUCUACAUACAGUUCUGAUUCUCAGCAAGAGCCUUUCUGUGAGUCCAAACUCUGCUUACUUAUAGCUUAACAGAAGUCUGAGAGUCUGUCAGAGAAAAAAUAACAAUCAUGUCACUUUCAUUCCAAAUAUGUUCUUAAAAAAUACUUAUAUAGAUACCCAGAAUAGAUAAAUGUCAGGUUAAUUAAAAAAAUCAGAUAUGAAAAUGUAACAUAAAAGGUUUGGUAAUAUUUAUUUUUUUCUAAAAAAUCCUAACAACUGCAAUGGCACGAUCAACUUGUAAAUUGCCAUUCAAACUUAUCAUGGUAAGUAAGGGCAGUAGGAAACAAUAUAUUCAUUCAAAAUUUUUAAAAGUCCUACACAUAAAUUAAAUGAAUCAAAGAUAGUAGUAGAGGCCAGAGUUUAGGGUAUUUUAGAGGCACAUCCAGAAAGUAUUAAGGAAAUCAGAAUUUGGGGGUUAUGUUUAUUUCUGUUCUGGAAACAGUAUUUCAUAACAGUAAAAUAAUUACUAUUUAUUUUA